ACAGCAGUCGCCACGGGAAUACGAAGGGGGCUAGCGUUGCUCGGAAUGACUGGGCGUAAAGGGCGCGUAGGCGGUUUACACAGUCAGGUGUGAAAUUCCCGGGCUUAACCUGGGGGCUGCAUUUGAUACGUGUAGACUAGAGUGUGAGAGAGGGUUGUGGAAUUCUCAGUGUAGAGGUGAAAUUCGUAGAUAUUGGGAAGAACACCGGUGGCGAAGGCGGCAACCUGGCUCAUUCUAGACGCUGAGGUGCGAAAGCGUGGGGAGCAAACAGGAUUAGAUACCCCGGUAGUCCCUGUCUCUUAUAC
rnacentral:rRNA from 1 species